rnacentral:lncRNA from 1 species
GAGGUUCAGAGGAGCAGCGUGACCCGCGGGGGAUAACCUGGGAGAAAGAGGACGAGAGAAUCUGUGGAGAAAAGAACUAGCCCGCCGUCUCUUUUGACCUUUGAAGUCUCUACAGUAGAGCUUACAUCCCAGACCCUCCUGGUACAGGCCCUCGGUUCACCUUACUGGGUUGUUAGUAGAAACAAAGGCAACAUUUCCAGUAGAUGAUCUGGCACAAGCAGGUGCACCGCUCACCACCACAAACCUCCUAGGGUCAGACCUGGCUUCUCCAAGGGAGGUGCUCACACAGGACAUGAUUAGAUUUUCAGGCUUUGUCCACACCUGACAACACACGCAAGCAGAAGCGUGGAGGUAGAGAACAGCAACGCCAUCAUGCAGAUGAUGCUGAAGGUGGUGAUGACCAGUAGACAGGAAUGGUGAUAAUGAUGAUGAUGGGGACAUGUCCAGAGAUGCAUGACUCUGGCCCCUUCCUGGGCCACCACACCUCGGGGGUCCUCCCAAUGGUCUUGGCUCUGUUGUUGGUUACAAGGUUCUUUGCCAUGAGAACUCAACAUUCUCCUGAUUUGAGAAGUCCCUGCUCAAACCUUCCUAAGUAAUCCCCAGCCAAGCCAAUCUCCUAUUUCCAUGGUCUUAGGAUCUGGGUUGUUUCCAGCUUUUAGCUAUUACAAAUAAAGUUACUAUAAAUAUUCAUACA